UACGUAGGGUGCGAGCGUUGUCCGGAAUUAUUGGGCGUAAAGAGCUCGUAGGCGGUUUGUUGCGUCGGCCGUGAAAACUCAGGGCUUAACUCUGAGCCUGCGGUCGAUACGGGCAGACUUGAGUUCGGUAGGGGAGACUGGAAUUCCUGGUGUAGCGGUGAAAUGCGCAGAUAUCAGGAGGAACACCGGUGGCGAAGGCGGAUCUCUGGGCCAUUACUGACGCUGAGGAGCGAAAGCGUAGGGAGCGAACAGG
rnacentral:rRNA from 1 species